AUGAAAAUUGCUUAUGCCAGGGAGAGAAGGGCAGGCUACCACAUCCCACACUUCGACUGGUAUAAGCGGUAAUGGAUUCACACCCAACAGGACAAGCAAUUCAUUAACAAGAAGAAGGAAAACCAGAAAACUUGGACCUCUUGUUUUUCAGUUAAAUGUAUUUACACUAUGCUACUUGACCCAGGAUAAAUGUGCAUCCCACUGGCAGCAUCAUGAGCAUGUGGCUAAGUAUCCCGCUGCCUUCCCCUCAGAUAAGGUGGCAUGGGUGGGUAUCUAUGGUGAUGCAUCUCACCCCUCCCGUGGGCUGCUCUGCUAUCUCAGGAAUCCCUGUUUAGGCCUCAGCCCCUCUGUAAUGAGUUAGCACUCAAGUGUCCCUCGAUCAUACUGGCAUCUCUUGCAUGGAUGAGGUGCGGAACGGCACUGGCUGUACCAGAAACAUUUCUUACCUGAACAGCACUACUGCCUGAUGGCCUUGAUCAUCCUUUAACAAGCCCGGGGACAUUCUUUAUUAUGGUUCCAAGUAGUAAAAUACCACUGUCAAUGGAAAUUUUUUUAAAAAUGUAAUUUAUUACUGACUCAGAAUGUGGCCAGGAUGGAAGAUUACUGAUGACUGAAGUCUCCAAACAAAUAAACAGCAGUCCUAAGUGAGGCACUUUGAGCUCUCCUGGACUGCAGGACAGGGACACUUCUCAGAGUUCUCAAGCUCCCAAGUCUGUGAUCCUAAGGGGGUCCAUUGCCAAAAGCUGAUGGCAGGGCUUGGGCUGAUAUUCACAGAGAAUCAUAGAAUGGUCAGGGUGGGAAGGGACCUCUGGAGAUCAUCUAUUUCAUUCAUGCCUUUGAUGGUGAUUCUUUAAGCAACUUAACCUAAACCACUCGUUCGUGGCAGCAUCUCACUGCUGUGCCUGUGGCACGGGAUGGGUACUGUGGCACCUGGUGGCGCUGAGUGUUUGGGAUAUUUGAUCCUUGCAUUACGAACGUUCAUAUUAUGCCAUUGCUGGAGUUUCUGCCGUAAGCAGACAUGGCUGAAAAACAUGCCAGUUUGCUGUGCACUGUUAGGAUGAGACCUGUAAGGGGUGCUGUAAUGGCAGAAUGUGCAUUAUGCAGAGGAUUUUUAUAUGAGGGCAGAAAUGUGUUGCAUUUUAAUCUGUUGCUUAGUUCACAGCUUUUGAGGCCCAUGAAAAUGGACUAAACUAAACAAAUUGUGACUAUUCUGCUACUAUGAGUAACUGGAGAGAAGGCUGCAGGUUCUUUGGGUGACACCUCCAACUGAUAAAAGAAAAAACUGCUCCAAGACCUAUGUAGAACACAGACACCAUCGGCAUGCUGCUGGCAGUAGUGAGCCGGACCGAUGGCUCACCGUGCCGCGAAGGAAAUGAAAGGAGAGCCCUCAAACAAGAAGACUGUUGUCAACCUGUUACAGAUGGGCAACUGCACCAAAGGCUGGAAAUGGCCCCAGGAUUUCUGUGGUGGAACUGAAAAUCAGCCCCCGCAUCAGUCCAGCUCCGUCACUGCAAAGCCCUUCCCCACCCUCCACCUUUUUGUGGUUGCACUGUGAGCUCUGUAAGGCAUCCUGUAAAAAAGCAGGUCUGCCCUCACAGAUCGUCAUUGAGAGAGGGAAAAAAAAAGAACGUGCUGUGGGUCUGCUACAGCCUUCAUAUGUCGCUUGUAGAAAGCAACCCCUUUUCUGAACCCAGGAACGCACAGCUAGUAGUGUAAGUGGGUGAAAAGCAUGACCCAGUUGCAUUUGAAAGCCACUCUCUGUGUUGUAAAGCACAUUAGGGAAUAACUUGAGGUCAUGGGCUAGAGACCAAAGCAUUGCAAUUUCUUAGACAUAGAAACAGCCCAUUGUCCUUAUCCUAUGUACAGAAAUUACACACUGUACGUGCUUACUAAUGUCAGUCAAAUCUCCAUCCCAUAAUUAGUGCAUACUUAUACUGCCCAGUCCCCUGCUUUCUUUCAAGUGGGUUUCUUGUUAAGCUGUUAUUAUACAUUUUUACCAUACUCAUUAUUAAGGCUUUUGUUUAAAUUGCUGUGGUUUACCUGUGUAUUUUUGUCACACAACAGCUGACACUCACCUGCUGUUGCCACAGGUAUGUCCUGUUCCACCAAAACCCCAGGUUUCUCUACUAUCAUUAUGAGUCUUCCCAAAACAAUCAGGGAGCUUCUAUCAAGUCAGAGGCAAUGGAGAACUCUAGUCCCAUCGUUUUCUGUCUCAAUGCCUUCUUGCUGAUGGCUGCUCUAUGUUUUUUAUUUUCCAGGUUAGUCUUUUUUUGCCUGUGAGACAUUCACAUUAUUAACUAAAGCAGAAGGAAUGUUCAAUAUGGAAAGAAGCUCAUUCUUUACAUUUUCAAAACAUUUUUGUAAGAGCUCUGUCUCGCAAGCAAACAUGGAAGAAAUCAGAAGCUUUUCUGUAUUGUAGUUCAUAUUCUGUCUGAUCUACACACAGAGAGCACUGUCAACCUCAUUUGUCCUUCCAUGAGAAAAAGAGACUGGAACUGCUUCAUUUGUGUAGUAAGGUGUAAUGAGUGCUGAAAAUGAGACUUCUCGGACUCCCUGGAGCUGUAUCAGACAAGAGGAAUCUGGAAAGCAAAUUAAAUUAAAAUCCACAGGAAUUUCAUACAAAGCAGAGUUGUGUGGUGACAACUCUGAAAAUGCAUAGACUGGAUUCUCAAGGUUAUUUCAGGCCUCUGGUGAAGGAGCAUAGGAUUUUCAAAAGCACCUUGGGGGCUGAUCUUCAUAUGCCUUUUCCUGUGUGACUGCUAACUGUUGGUUGCAGUCUAGUAACAAAUCUCUCAAGGGAAGGGCCAGCAGGAAGUGAUUUCUGCUCUGAUAUGCUCAGGUGUGGAUGUGAAAUAGCUUUGUGACACCCAUAGUGACAGGAUUUGUCUGCAGUGUUUUCUGCAGCAUCAUGCACAUGUGAGGGAAAAGUGGCUGCCGAACAUGACAGCUUGAGGUCUUGGUCAGGAGAAAACUAACAGGUACCUCUGUCAGGUUGUUAGUGGCUCCAGAUGGGGCAAGAAGAAAAUUGAGAGCUCUUCCUGGGUAAUACCAUCUUUCUGUAGGAGUUGUAAGCUGGUAUCUCUUUUGCAUUUCAUCAGUACACAUUCUUAUUCACUCAGAUUGUAACUCUGACUUGAAACUAGGCAUUUUGCCUUUUUUUUUUUU